GUAAUGCAUAGGAAUCUGCCCAGUAGUAUGGGAUAGCCACUAGAAAUGGUGGGUAAUACUGUAUACGCCCUGCGGGGGAAAGAUUUAUCGCUACUGGAUGAGCCUAUGUUAGAUUAGCUAGUUGGUAGGGUAAAGGCCUACCAAGGCAGUGAUCUAUAGCUGGUCUGAGAGGAUGAUCAGCCACACUGGAACUGAGAUACGGUCCAGACUCCUACGGGAGGCAGCAGUGGGGAAUAUUGGACAAUGGGCGCAAGCCUGAUCCAGCUAUGCCGCGUGAGUGAGGAAGGCCUUAGGGUUGUAAAACUCUUUCAGCGGGGAAGAUAAUGACGGUACCCGCAGAAGAAGUCCCGGCAAACUCCGUGCCAGCAGCCGCGGUAAUACGGAGGGGGCAAGCGUUGUUCGGAAUUAUUGGGCGUAAAGGGCAUGU
rnacentral:rRNA from 1 species